AGAAUCAACGCUGGCGGCGUGCCUAACACAUGCAAGUCGAACGAGAAAGGGGUAGCAAUACCCUGAGUAAAGUGGCGCACGGGUGAGUAACACGUGACUAACCUACCCUUGAGUGGGGGGAUAACUGAGGGAAACCUUAGCUAAUACCGCAUAAUACCCACGGGUCAAAGGAGCAAUUCGCUCGAGGAGGGGGUCGCGGCCGAUUAGUUAGUUGGCGGGGUAAUGGCCCACCAAGACGAUGAUCGGUAUCCGGCCUGAGAGGGCGCACGGACACACUGGAACUGAAACACGGUCCAGACUCCUACGGGAGGCAGCAGUGGGGAAUUUGCGCAAUGGGGGAAACCCUGACGCAGCAACGCCGCGUGGAGGAUGAAGUCCUUCGGGACGUAAACUCCUUUCGAUCGGGACGAUUAUGACGGUACCGGAAGAAGAAGCCCCGGCUAACUUCGUGCCAGCAGCCGC
rnacentral:rRNA from 1 species